GAUGAACGCUGGCGGCGUGCCUAAUACAUGCAAGUAGAACGCUGAAGGAGGAGCUUGCUCUUCUGGAUGAGUUGCGAACGGGUGAGUAACGCGUAGGUAACCUGCCUGGUAGUGGGGGAUAACUAUUGGAAACGAUAGCUAAUACCGCAUGACAACAGUUAUUGCAUGAUAACUGUUUAAAAGGGGCAACUGCUCCACUACCAGAUGGACCUGCGUUGUAUUAGCUAGUUGGUGAGGUAACGGCUCACCAAGGCGACGAUACAUAGCCGACCUGAGAGGGUGAUCGGCCACACUGGGACUGAGACACGGCCCAGACUCCUACGGGAGGCAGCAGUAGGGAAUCUUCGGCAAUGGACGGAAGUCUGACCGAGCAACGCCGCGUGAGUGAAGAAGGUUUUCGGAUCGUAAAGCUCUGUUGUAAGAGAAGAACGAGUGUGAGAGUGGAAAGUUCACACUGUGACGGUAUCUGACCAGAAAGGGACGGCUAACUACGUG
rnacentral:rRNA from 1 species